rnacentral:piRNA from 1 species
UGGGCAUUCAGAUCCAAAUGAAUGGAGGA